rnacentral:rRNA from 1 species
UACCAGACUCCUACGGGAGGCAGCAGUGGGGAAUAUUGCACAAUGGGGGAAACCCUGAUGCAGCGACGCCGCGUGAGCGAUGAAGUAUUUCGGUAUGUAAAGCUCUAUCAGCAGGGAAGAAAAUGACGGUACCUGACUAAGAAGCCCCGGCUAACUACGUGCCAGCAGCCGCGGUAAUACGUAGGGGGCAAGCGUUAUCCGGAUUUACUGGGUGUAAAGGGAGCGUAGACGGCGGUGCAAGCCAGAUGUGAAAGCCCGGGGCUCAACCCCGGGACUGCAUUUGGAACUGUGCUGCUAGAGUGUCGGAGAGGCAGGCGGAAUUCCUAGUGUAGCGGUGAAAUGCGUAGAUAUAAGGAAGAACACCAGUGGCGAAGGCGGAUUACUGGACGAUAACUGACGGUGAGGCGCGAAAGCGUGGGGAGCAAACAGGAUUAGAUACCCCUGUAU